rnacentral:rRNA from 1 species
CCUACGGGAGGCAGCAGUGGGGAAUAUUGGGCAAUGGGCGCAAGCCUGACCCAGCAACGCCGCGUGAAGGAAGAAGGCUUUCGGGUUGUAAACUUCUUUUCUCAGGGACGAAGAAAGUGACGGUACCUGAGGAAUAAGCCACGGCUAACUACGUGCCAGCAGCCGCGGUAAUACGUAGGUGGCAAGCGUUAUCCGGAUUUAUUGGGUGUAAAGGGCGUGUAGGCGGGAGCGCAAGUCAGAUGUGAAAACUCAGGGCUCAACCCUGAGCCUGCAUUUGAAACUGUGGUUCUUGAGUGCUGGAGAGGCAAUCGGAAUGCCGUGUGUAGCGGUGAAAUGCGUAGAUAUACGGAGGAACACCAGUGGCGAAGGCGGAUUGCUGGACAGCAACUGACGCUGAGGCGCGAAAGCGUGGGGAGCAAACAGGAUUAGAUACCCGAGUAGUC